ACCGAAUAACAAUGCAAACAUAAACACACACAACACAAUGGAAAAACAACUUUCACUCCGAUUAUCUCUGUUAUCGUAUUUUUUAUGCGAGGACUAAGGUUAUCUGAAGAAAGUCUGUUCACUAUCCAAACUUUAGCCCGCAUAUUUCUUGCGGGUUUUUUUUAUCCA
rnacentral:ncRNA from 1 species